UACGAAGGGGGCUAGCGUUGUUCGGAUUUACUGGGCGUAAAGCGCACGUAGGCGGAUCAUUAAGUCGGGGGUGAAAUCCUGGAGCUCAACUCCAGAACUGCCUUCGAUACUGGCGAUCUUGAGUCCGGAAGAGGUGAGUGGAACUCCUAGUGUAGAGGUGGAAUUCGUAGAUAUUAGGAAGAACACCAGUGGCGAAGGCGGCUCACUGGUCCGGUACUGACGCUGAGGUGCGAAAGCGUGGGGAGCAAACAGG
rnacentral:rRNA from 1 species